CACCCCCAGAAGAAAGAUGCCACGUCACUGGAUCUGUGGAUGAAUGUCUCAUUCAAGCCUUCUGGGUUCCAGCAAUCCUCCUUAAAGCUUCAGUACACAGAAUGAUUUCCUAGCAAGUGACUGCUGGAAAAUCCUCUGUCAGGCCACAACUUCAUCACCCAGUCUGAAAAGCUUUGAAGAACAAGGAUUGCUCUCUUCUGUACAAGAUUUCAAUUAAUGCUGUACAUUUUUGGUUCCUAUCACUCUUCACAUAAGAGAAGUAAUGCCCCAGAUGCUUUUACUCUCUGUUAGAAAAAGAUCCCCAGUGCCAAACAGCCCAUAUCUAUGAUUUAAUGAAAAACUAAAGGAAAAACUAA